GGGGGAUAGCUCAGUGGUAGAGUAUAUGCUUAGCAUGCACUAGGUCCUGGGUUCAAUCCCCAGUACCUCCA
rnacentral:tRNA from 1 species